rnacentral:tRNA from 1 species
ACCCAAAGCGAGAAUCAUACUACUAGACCAUCAGGCC